AUCCUCUCUGCUUUUCCUCAUGGUGUUAAUUCUUCCCUGAAUCCUUGUUUGCACCUGCCUCUUGUUCUCCCAGCAAACAUCCUUGUUUGCAUACCAGCUCCUAUUGCCUCUUUACCGGAGAUUUCCUGGACAGCUGGCAGCAUUUGUCACCCUUCUUCUCUGUGUCCUGAGUGCUGGCUUGCUUCCCCAGGCUGUGGUCCUUUCCUUGUCCCUAUUUCUAACCUGAGUUUUAUGUCUUGCCUGGCUCUCCCACCAGCCUGGGCCCCCUGGAAUUGAGUCUGGAUCUUAGAUCAGGUGACUGAUGGGACAUGUGUCUUUGCUGCACAUCAGGUGGACUUUCACUGCUGGAUGUGUGGGAAAAACUGCAACAGUGAGAAGCAGUGGCAGGGCCACAUCUCCUCCGAGAAGCACAAAGAGAAGGUUUUCCACACCGAGGACGACCAGUACUGCUGGCAGCACCGCUUCCCAACAGGCUAUUUCAGUAUUUGUGAUAGGUAUAUGAAUGGCACCUGCCCAGAAGGAAACAGCUGUAAAUUUGCACAUGGAAAUGCCGAACUUCAUGAAUGGGAAGAAAGAAGAGAUGCCCUAAAGAUGAAGCUCAACAAAGCACGAAAAGAUCACUUAAUUGGCCCAAAUGAUAAUGACUUUGGAAAAUAUAGUUUUUUGUUUAAAGAUUUAAACUAAUAUGCUGGCUUUUAUGUAUGAUACCUAAUCAGAGCAUUGACCAGAAAAAUUGAAAGUCUUCUAAGGCACAUAGCAGAGGAGCUGCAGAUUUUCUGCUUGUAUUGGCGUAUAUCGUUCCUCCUGAGCAGCAACCCACAGUAGGUAGGAAAAUGGGCUGUUUCACAGGCCUGGCCACGCUCUCACGGAACCAUUGGCAUCAGAUGGUGAAGUGACUGCUACCCGGUUGCCAUCUGUUGAACAGACUUUUGGAUGAAGUGUGUUGGGGAAGAGGAUAAGGUUAUAUUUAGGACAACUCUUUGAGUUGGUCCUUCAUAUAAGAAUCAUGACGGUAAGAGAAUAAACACUUGUACUGGGAUCAGAAUACAUGAUGGAUGAAAUUCUUUACAUGUUUUAGCAGAAUGAAUUUGUUUAAUAUAAUAAAGUUUGCUACUUAUCUGUAUGUAGGUUGCUAAAAAGGAUUUUCUUAACUCAGAUUUUAAGCCAAAUAACCAUUUAACACUAGUAUUUGUUAAAUGGGGUAUUUUUCUGUAUUUGUAUGUUUCACUAUAAUAAGGGAAUUAAGGAUAAUGUGCAUUGAGAAUAUUUUGAAAAAUAAUUAAUUGACUCAAAUUUUAUUUCUUGGUCUUUUGCUGUUUAAAUGAUGAUUUUGAAAGACUAAACCUGUACUGUUGGUAUUGUGUUAGUGUAUGGACCAAUACUGCCUGUAAUAAAGAUUUUAUAUAUAGAUGCC
rnacentral:sRNA from 1 species